rnacentral:lncRNA from 1 species
ACCUUCUAACAAGUCUGUUGAUAUUUAGGUCUCCACCGAGUGGUCAGGCCCAGGCCACCUGCAGAAGGAGCCCUUAGAUGUUUAGCUCUGUGGUUUGCAGGACCUUGAAACUAUAGGACCAGCUUGUGGUAGCAUUGGUGACCAAGAGAGUCUCUCCAGGGAGAGAAUGUACAUGCAUCGUCCAUAAGCCAUCCCCACAAUACAUCCUGAGGAUCUGGAUAUCCCUUGUGUCCCAUCUGUGGAAGGUUUGGUUCCCCAGUAGAACCACCAUGAGGAAUAACAGGCUUGGGAAGAGCUUAGUGGUUUGCUCUGCCAUAAAACCCAACAUGAUGUGCUGCCUUGCCCUAAGCCCAAAUCAGCC